rnacentral:rRNA from 1 species
GACGAACGCUGGCGGCGUGCUUAACACAUGCAAGUCGAACGGAAAGGCCCUGCUUUUGUGGGGUGCUCGAGUGGCGAACGGGUGAGUAACACGUGAGUAACCUGCCCUUGACUUUGGGAUAACUUCAGGAAACUGGGGCUAAUACCGGAUAGGAGCUCCUGCUGCAUGGUGGGGGUUGGAAAGUUUCGGCGGUUGGGGAUGGACUCGCGGCUUAUCAGCUUGUUGGUGGGGUAGUGGCUUACCAAGGCUUUGACGGGUAGCCGGCCUGAGAGGGUGACCGGCGACAGUGGGACGGAGAUACGGCCCAGACUCCUACGGGAGGCAGCAGGGGGGAGUGUUGCAGAAUGGGCGGAAGCCUGAUGCAGCAACGCCGCGUGCGGGAUGACGGCCUUCGGGUUGUAAACCGCUUUCGCCUGUGACGAAGCGUGAGUGACGGUAAUGGGUAAAGAAGCACCGGCUAACUACGUG